AUGACCUGAGCCGAAAUCAGACGCUCAACCGACUGAGCCACCCAGGCGCCCCGGAAAAUGCCAUCUUUUGACGUAACCAUAAAGUGUGGGUGUAUUUUGGGAGUUCUGCGUUCUUCCCCGGGGAUCUGUGCUCCUGUCCCUCCAUCAGUAGCCCACUGUCUUGAAGAUUGUAGCUGUCAGUAAUCUUUCUGAUCAGGUAGAGUGAGAAUAUCGAGUCUUUCGACCGUGACCUGACUCAGUUUACCGUUCCCGCUAACGGGUCUGAUCUGUCUGAUCUCACGCCUGCCCCUGAGACCAGCUCUUCCUGUGGGAUUUACUUCCGUUCCUUCCUCUUCUGUGAAGCCUUUCUUGGUUCCCGCUGCCUCUUUUGAAACUUAAAGGUGAGGGUUCCUUCCCUCUUGAAUGCCCUGCGCUCUGUAUCUGUGUCAUUCACUUGGACUUUCACACGUAAUCCCUUCUCUGUGCUCGCAUUCCCGAGGAGCGCUCUCGCCUUCUUGGUGUGGUGGAUUCCAGGUACCAGACGCCCAGGGUCCGGGAUGCAGUAGGUCCUUGGCGAAUGAUUCGUUGUCGGAGAGAAAGGCUAAACCAGACUCCACUCCUACUUCAGGAAGGCAUACGUGCGCGGUCGUAAGGGGGCAAAAGUACGCACGUUCCUUUCGUUGCUGGUUUGCCAGGAGGUCCCUGACACCACAUUGGUGCAAAGCGAAGCCUUCCCGGAUCGACAAGCUGAUCCAGGCUCUCUCUGUGUGUUUCAGGUUGGUUUAUUUAUUUUGAGACCCCGAGAGAGGGUACGAGCCCGGGAGGAGCGGAGAGAGAAUCGCAAGCCGGCCCCUCGCUGUCGGCGCGGGGCUUGAACCCCGGACCGUGAGAUCGUGACCUGAGCCGAAAUCAAGAGCGGGACGCUUCACCGACUGAGCCGCCCAGAUGCCUCUCGGGGCUCUGGGCUUAAGCAGGACCUGGAGUGGUUGUAAUAAUUAUUGGUAGCACCCAGCUGCAUAACAAAUGACCCCCAAAUCCCCGUGGCUUACCACAAACCCUGAUGCCUCACCCUUGGAUGCUUGUGGCUUCUCGGCUGCAGCCUAGGGGUUGGAUUGAGGUCAGCUCCAUGCAUCUCUCAUUCCAGAGUCCCACGCGAAGCUGCAGCAGCUACCUGGAGGCACGUUCAUUCUCCUGGCGACGGCAGGGGUUCGGGAGGCCAGGCCCAAACGAGGAAGCGCGUUUGAAAACCUCCGACUGGAUCCUGUUGACUUCGGUUCCAUCGACCAAAGUUCUCCUCACUGCUCCUCCUGGGAACAGAGUCUGGGGGGAGCCAGUGUGUUCCAGAAGAGUCAGCACAGUCCGAGGGAGAGAUCGGCCCUCUGGCAGCAGCCAGCCGAUGAGAACCAAUUAUACACAUCUCUUCCCAACUCUGCAGCGGGUGAUGUCAAGUCGAGAGCUUGAAAUCUGACCACACUGGGAGUAUUUACACCACAGGAAUCGGCGAGCGCUACAGACGGGCCUUCCCCAUCCCGGGAGAGCCAGUUGUUAAAUAUUUACCAGCACACCGCUGCUGCUGAGGGACAGGUCUGUGCCAUCAGAACCUUAGAAGUGCCUUUCUCGAGAUUUCUUGGAAAUCUCCUCCCUGCCAGGGAGGGAGGGAAGUGACCGAAUCUGUAGGAGGCCGGUCCUAUCUAGCGCUUUCUAUUGAGCACAUGAUUGUCAUUCAUCACCUGAAAAGGUUAUAAAUCUCCCCGGUGUUGAAGAGCUCCAGAAUGAAUGAAAUGGAAUUAAAUGUCCAGGCACGCACAAGCUCACGCCUGGCACGGAGCCAACACGGGGCUUGAACUCACAACCCGGAGAUGAAGACCUGAGCUGAGAUCAGGAGUCGGACGCUUAACCGACUGAGCCGCCCAGGUGCCCGUCCUGUAUUUUCAUUCAGCAGAUCUCUUUCGAGCGCCCGACUUGUGCAGGGCACCGUGCCCCCAUGACUCCCUAGGCCCCAGCGCGGGCGGCCUUGCCCAGUUGUGGCUUCUGGUCUCACCUACGUGAUCUGCGACGACCUGAGGGCAGGAUUUGGGUCGUCUACUCCCCGAUCCCCUGCCCUACCCUCACAAAGCCCAUCAUUAAUUCCUGCGGGAGCUGCCACGGCGGCCCCCCCCGCCCCCGCCAUCCUUUGGCAUGGUGUUGGCAAUCUCUUAAGG